UGGGGAAUCUUGGACAAUGGGGGCAACCCUGAUCCAGCAAUGCCGCGUGUGUGAAGAAGGCCCUAGGGUUGUAAAGCACUUUCAAUUGGGAAGAAAAGUUCCGGGUUAAUAACCCGUGGACCAUGACGGUACCUUUAGAAGAAGCACCGGCUAACUCCGUGCCAGCAGCCGCGGUAAUACGGAGGGUGCGAGCGUUAAUCGGAAUUACUGGGCGUAAAGCGCGCGUAGGCGGUUUGGUAAGUCAGAUGUGAAAGCCCCGGGCUCAACCUGGGAACUGCAUUUGAUACUGCCUGACUAGAGUAUGGUAGAGGGAAGUGGAAUUCCACAUGUAGCGGUGAAAUGCGCAGAUAUCAGGAGGAACACCGGUGGCGAAGGCGGGGUCUCUGGGGCCGGAACUGACGCUGAGGAGCGAAAGCGU
rnacentral:rRNA from 1 species